CUCUCAUUCCCCUUCCCUCCCACGCGCCUCCUCUUCUCCCACCCACAUCGCCGCCGCCGCCACCCAUCGCCUCGAACCACGUAGUCGACAUCCAUCCAUUGCUCCAGCGGUGGCCAGAUCAGUCGCAACAGAGCCCCCUCCAGCCCUCCCUCUCUCUCGCGCGUCUGCUUCACGUACGCCGCCUAAUUCCGGCGAGCCCCGGCGUCUCCGCCACCGCGCAACACAGCGCCGAGCUCGCCUCGCUCCGCUGCGUCCUCUCUUCCUGCCGGAUUCGCCGCUCACGGCCACCACCGCUCACCCGCGACCCUGCCCCGUGGUUAGGGUUUCGGGUGUUGGCUCCAACAUCGGCGGCUAUGUCCGCAGAGGACGAGUUGAGUGGGGAAACACCAACACCAUGGACGAGUUGGGUGAGGGGAUGAUCAUGGUGGCGGCCAGAUCCGCCAUGGCUGCAGCAACUUCCACCUCCUCGCUCGCGCCGGGACCCCGACACCAUGAGCUGCUCAUCAAGGGCCGCAUCUCCUUCAUCCUCAUGUCCCAGGAUAAGCAGCAGAAGAGGAGAGUUCAUCCCCUCCUGGCCCGACACCGGCGGCCAUGGGGCUGCGCCUCCUCUCCGCCUCUGCAGAGGAGAGGAGCGGGUACGAGCCUGCAGCUCCUGAUGUGCUUCAAUUCGAUUUGGAGUAGAGCAAUUGAUGUACUCCUACUGCUGCUGUAGAGGAUAGGAUGGACGAGAGCACAUCACACGAUUCGAUUCUGCUAUGCAUCCUAUGAGGAACUCAAAGAAGAAGGGCAUUCCGAACAAAGAAAUCAGCUGGUAGUUUUUUUAGUUGUGAGAAGCUUGAUGAGUUGCACUGCGAAGAAUCGCGAUUGGCACAUAUCCAGUUAUGCUCAGAGUAAGGAUCAGAAGCAGCAUUCAACGAUGCAUUUUCUCCUGUGGUGUCAGUUAAGCAUCAAAAGCAAAUGUGCCAAGCGGUGGACCGUCGUCAUUACUUUCAUGCACCUCUGGGAAGAGGAGAUGACCUGAGGAAAUAUCAGCGGGGGCGUGGAUGUGCGGUUUAGGAAGCGGUUCCGCGCCGGUUGUACGGCGUUCAGGCGCAACCCCGGCGCCCACUGAGUACUGCCUUGGCUACAACCUCCCUUGGUAGGAGUACAACAACAUUAGGCGAUUAGCUAUUUGUGAUGCAAAGGUGUCGGUGGUCGGGUUGAUGCGGACGCGGCUGCGAGCUCGACAUGAGAGCAGCGGGGCAGCGUCGAGCUCACCAGGUCCUCCUGCCCGCCUGCUAAACCUCCAGGUGAUUCGCCAAUGAUGAUCAGUCAACCACUUGCUUCGACGCUAAUGACUACCCAACUAUCUACCAAGAUGUUUCAAUGGUCUUCUGUUUGACCAUUCGCCUUUUGUAGGAAUGCCUUGCUCUGAAAAUUAUGUAGCAUCAAAACUGCUGGAUGCGCUCUUUAACCUUGAUUGCUUUGUCUAAAAAUAACGUACUUAAAGCAUUUUGUGUUGGCAUUUGGUUUGCUAAUUGGGUAGCUUUCUCAAUAUUGAUCUCACUACCAUUAUAGUUACUUAAGCUAUAUUAUGCCCCUGCUUUUAGUACUGAACUUUGUAACCUGAUUGGAUUUUGUCAUCGUAUGAUAUUACUCCUUGGUGUUGAACGUUGUCAUUUUGUUUUUGAACAGACUAAAUACUUC